AAGAAAACUUAUGGACAACUCAGGAGACCAUGUUCAGGGGGUCCGGGUGCUGCCCUGUGCCCCUUGUUUGCAGCCGUUGCACCAAGCGCGGUUGUCGCUGCACACGGAGCUGAUGUGGGUGCAAAGGUCUCACAUUCGCAACACAAACCAGUUGAGCCUCGAGCUGCGCCGCUGCUCGGCGCCCCCCCGCCAGUUCUGCUGUGUCAGCGUUGGUGUGGUACCCGUCAGUAACCGCACUCUGUGCAGACGGCAGGGAUGCCGUGUGCAACCUCCCGCCUUCUUUUCCACAGUCUCUUGCACGAUAGCUGCAAAACAAAGCAAACAAUGUCCUGGUGGCCCUUGAGAUUUGGGCACAGUGGAGAUGAGGACCAUAUAAGUACACAGAUGGAUGGAUGCAUGGAUGGAAUGCAGACUCCCACCAGCUGGAAGGAGCAGCGGUGGGUGUGCAAGGAGGGGCUUGUUCCCAUCCCACCGGGAUGCACCUUGUGAACACCUGGCCCACAUCAGGAGCCAUGUGGUUGUCCCCCCUGGGGACACACCAGCGAGAAGACAGGGGCACGUCCUCCCCACACACGUUGGUACAAGACAAAUGCCGUCUCUUCUGCAGGCAGGAAAGGGACACCGAGGGACAGUGUCUCCAAUGUCACACGCUCAGUGGCCUGGAACUCCCAGGGUGAGUUGUACCGUGCAACAUGACUUCAGCGCUUUGCAUGGCUGCAGCAGGACACGCUCCUGAACUGAAAGGACACACUGAGUUCUUCUAGAAGGACCUGCUGGUGGCCAACGUCAUCUCAGUAGACAUAGGGAAGGGGUGAAAAGCUGCCAGGACACAGCGCUGGGGAAGCGGAACAGCUGAGCUAUCCUCAAGUUAUCGUUACAGAAGCUUCAAGCAAGUCUAGUUUUUAUUACAGAACAAAAUACUUAUAUUUUUUACUCAGAAGGAACUACACAAGCUCAAAAACUGUGCUUUUCACAAUGCAUCUUCAUUGAAUUCCCCCGUCUGCAGUGUUCCUGGGGGCUAUUAGCUGCUUUAACUGGAAAAGUAGCUGCUGGGAGCCUGGGUAUUUGCUCUCAGAGGCGUCGUGUUCCCUGCAGCCUCCAGCCCCUGGGAUUCCUCAGCCCACACCAGAACUGCUGCUCCCAUCUCCCUGCCUCCUCCCCUGUGCCAGCGGGCUCAGCAGAGCUAAGACCAGGGCAGGAAGGGAUCGUGUGGCCACACGUGGCACCCCAAAAGUCAAAUCACGUUUUACCAGGGUGUUUUCUGAUGAGAGGAGAAAAAACACCCAUGCAGGACAAAUAGCUUUGGGCUAGGAACAAGUUGUAGCUGCUUUAUGGAGCUUAAGAUCUUUUGAAAUGAUGCUUGUGUAGCCCUUGGUAAUCAGGAGAGUUGAAUUGCUGCUGGGUGUCCCUGAGCCCCUCUGUGAAUCAAAGGGGUUGGUCUGGGCAAGGCAGGCAGAGAUCGCUCGUACACACUGAGCUCAAGGAGGAGGUUUUGAUGAGCUGCUGAGCAGAGGUAUUUAAUUAACCUCCUCUAUUGAUUUUGAUGGAGAAUCACCUUUACUUUUUAUGUGCAAGAGAAAAAGAGCCUGUCUGAAGAGCAGCCAUCUGUAAGAUGGCCAAAUGAGUGCUGGGAUGGGCUCGGUUCACUCACCUCUGGUUUUCCAGUGCAAGGCUGUGGCUGACCCUUGUGAACGUGCCAGAAAAUAGACAGGGCGAGGGAGUUGAGUAACACUGGAGAGAGCGUCUCCAUGUGCCGUAUGUCCCGCCAGCAUGCAGGGUGGUACAGGGGCUGUGGGGACACUCCCCUGUCCUUCCAACACGGGAGCAACGACGUCCAGGCAGAGGCAGCCCGUGGGGAGGACCCGCUCUGCACUGCAUAGAAGGGGAGGGAGAAGGUGGACAUCCCUUAGCAUCGGUGGCCAGGGCAGAGGAUGCUGGUGCUUCCCGCUGUGGUAUAUGGGUUAUUGUGAACUCGAAAGGCCAUCAAAGGGUUUUAGAGAACAAUUGUGAAAUACUGAAAUAGCUGCUUGGUCUUCAAACAUGACAGUGGGUGAGAAAUUUGGGAGUUUGCUGGGAUUUCCUGAUUUACUGGGAUGUAACCGCUUGAAUUGAGGGCAUUUUAAAUUUUGCAUUACGUUGGCUGGGUAGUUAAUAUUUAAUGUAUGGAAAAAUACAAAGGUAGGUAGCU